rnacentral:rRNA from 1 species
UACGUAGGGGGCUAGCGUUGUCCGGAUUUAUUGGGCGUAAAGAGCGUGUAGGCGGCCAGGUAGGUCUGCUGUGAAAACUCGAGGCUUAACCUCGAGCUGUCGGCGGAAACCAUCUGGCUAGAGUCCGGAAGAGGAGAAUGGAAUUCCCGGUGUAGCGGUGAAAUGCGCAGAUAUCGGGAAGAACACCCGUGGCGAAGGCGGUUCUCUGGGACGGUACUGACGCUGAUACGCGAAAGCGUGGGGAGCGAACAGG